AUUGAACGCUGGCGGCAGGCUUAACACAUGCAAGUCGAGCGAGUGGCGGACGGGUGAGUAAUGUCUGGGAAACUGACUGAUGGAGGGGGAUAACUACUGGAAACGGUAGCUAAUACCGCAUACCCUAAGAUGUGCCCAGUUGGGAUUAGGUAGUAGGUGGGGUAAUGGCUCACCUAGGCGACGAUCCCUAGCUGGUCUGAGAGGAUGACCAGCCACACUGGAACUGAUACACGGUCCAGACUCCUACGGGAGGCAGCAGUGGGGAAUAUUUCACAAUGGGCGCAAGCCUGAUGCAGCCAUGCCGCGUGUGUGAAGAAGGCCUUCGGGUUGUAAAGCACUUUCAGCGAGGAGGCGUUACUCGCAGAAGAAGCACCGGCUAACUCCGUGCCAGCAGCCGCGGUAAUAC
rnacentral:rRNA from 1 species